GACGAACGCUGGCGGCGUGCUUAACACAUGCAAGUCGAACGCGCCUGUCCUCUGGGUUUCUGGGGGGCGGGUGCGUGGCGAACGGGUGAGUAACACGUGAGUAACCUGCCUCCUUCUUCGGGAUAACGGUCUGAAAGGGCUGCUAAUACCGGGUAUUCACUGGUCUCCGCAUGGGGUCUGGGGGAAAGGUUUUUUUCUGGUGGGGGAUGGGCUCGCGGCCUCUCUGCUUGUUGGUGGGGUGAUGGCCCAACAAGGCUUUGACGGGUAGACGGCCUGAGAGGGUGACCGGUCACAGAGAGACUGAGAUACGGCCCAGGCGACUACGGGGGGCAGAAGUGGGGAAUAUGGCACAAUGGGCGCAAGCCUGAUGCAGCGACGGCGCGUGAGGGAUUGAGGCCUUCGGAUUGUGAAACUCGGUCGCCCGUAGUGAAGCCGCGACGUGGGUCGUGUUGAGGGUAGUGGGUAAAGAAGCGCCGGCUAACUACGUG
rnacentral:rRNA from 1 species